rnacentral:rRNA from 1 species
AUGGAUUUUUUCCCCCGCCUACGCAUAGCUUUGGUCUUUGCAUGGUAUCUUCGUCGCGGAGUCAUUCUUACUAAAGAUAACCUUAUUAAGAGAAAUUGGCAUGGAAGUCCGCACUGUGUUUUUUGUCAUCAUGAUGAGACAAUAAAACAUUUGUUAUUCCAAUGCAAAUUGGCUCGUUCUGUAUGGUCAGUCAUCCAGAUAGCUUCUGGCUUGUAUCCUGCUUGUAGUGUUGCUAAUGUAUUUGGCAACUAG